CAGCCGUAAACUAUGCGCGUUAGGUGUACUGGUGACCACGAGUCACCGGGGUGCCGAAGGGAAACCGUGAAACGUGCCGCCUGGGAAGUACGGUCGCAAGGCUGAAACUUAAAGGAAUUGGCGGGGGAGGCACCACAACGGGUGGGAGCCUGCGGGUUUAAUUUGGACUCAACGCCGGAAAUCUCACCGGAUAGGACAGACAUAUGAUAGUCGGGCUGAAGACUCUACUUGAUGAUCUGAGAGGAGGUGCCAUGGCGUCAGUGACU
rnacentral:rRNA from 1 species